rnacentral:rRNA from 1 species
AAAUGAAUAGACGGGGGCCCGCACAAGCGGUGGAGUAUGUGGCUUAAUUCGAUGCAACGCGAAGAACCUUACCUGGCCUUGACAUGCUUUGGACCGGCGCUGAAAGGCGCUUUUCUCUUCGGAGACCGGAGCACAGGUGCUGCAUGGCUGUCGUCAGCUCGUGUCGUGAGAUGUUGCGUUAAGUCGCGCAACGAGCGCAACCCCUGUCCUUAGUUGCCAGCAGGUAAAGCUGGGCACUUUAAGGAGACAAACCCUCUCUGAGGGUGGGAAGGUGGGGAUGACGUCAAGUCAGGAUGGCCCUUACGGCCAGGGCUGCACACGUACUACAAUGCCCGGUACAGAGGGAAGCUACGCCGCGAGGCGAUGCAAAUCUCAAAAACCGGGCCCAGUUCAGAUUGUAGUCUGCAAUUCGACUACAUGAAGUUGGAAUCGCUAGUAAUGGCGCAUCAGCUACGGCGCCGUGAAUACGUUCCCGGGCCUUGUACACACCGCCCGU